rnacentral:rRNA from 1 species
UACGAAGGGGGCUAGCGUUGCUCGGAAUCACUGGGCGUAAAGCGCACGUAGGCGGCUUGUUAAGUCAGGGGUGAAAUCCUGGAGCUCAACUCCAGAACUGCCUUUGAUAGUGGCGAGCUUGAGUCCGGGAGAGGUGAGUGGAACUGCGAGUGUAGAGGUGAAAUUCGUAGAUAUUCGCAAGAACACCAGUGGCGAAGGCGGCUCACUGGCCCGGUACUGACGCUGAGGUGCGAAAGCGUGGGGAGCAAACAGG